rnacentral:rRNA from 1 species
CCUACGGGUGGCAGCAGUGAGGAAUAUUGGUCAAUGGACGCAAGUCUGAACCAGCCAUGCCGCGUGCAGGAAGACGGCUCUAUGAGUUGUAAACUGCUUUUGUACGAGGGUAAACGCAGAUACGCGUAUCUGUCUGAAAGUAUCGUACGAAUAAGGAUCGGCUAACUCCGUGCCAGCAGCCGCGGUAAUACGGAGGAUUCAAGCGUUAUCCGGAUUUAUUGGGUUUAAAGGGUGCGUAGGCGGUCUGUUAAGUUAGCGGGGAAAUCCCGAGGCUCAACGUCGGAAUUGCCUCUGAUACUGGUCGGCUAGAGAGUAGUUGCGGUAGGCGGAAUGUGUGGUGUAGCGGUGAAAGGCUUAGAGAUCAUACAGAACACCGAUUGCGAAGGCAGCUUACCAAGCUACUUCUGACGUUGAGGCACGAAAGCGUGGGGAGCAAACAGGAUUAGAUACCCGGGUAGUC